rnacentral:rRNA from 1 species
UACAGAGGUCUCAAGCGUUGUUCGGAUUCAUUGGGCGUAAAGGGUGCGUAGGUGGCGGGGUAAGUCAGGUGUGAAAUCUCUGGGCUCAACUCAGAGACUGCUUCCGAAACUGCUGUGCUGGAGUGUGGGAGAGGCGCGUGGAAUUCCUGGUGUAGCGGUGAAAUGCGCAGAUAUCAGGAGGAACACCGGUGGCGAAGGCGGGUCUCUGGGCCGCAACUGACGCUGAGGAGCGAAAGCGUGGGGAGCGAACAGG